CUGCAGUCGAGCGAACAGACGAGGAGCUUGCUCCUCUGACGUUAGCGGCGGACGGGUGAGUAACACGUGGAUAACCUACCUAUAAGACUGGGAUAACUUCGGGAAACCGGAGCUAAUACCGGAUAAUAUAUUGAACCGCAUGGUUCAAUAGUGAAAGACGGUUUUGCUGUCACUUAUAGAUGGAUCCGCGCCGCAUUAGCUAGUUGGUAAGGUAACGGCUUACCAAGGCAACGAUGCGUAGCCGACCUGAGAGGGUGAUCGGCCACACUGGAACUGAGACACGGUCCAGACUCCUACGGGAGGCAGCAGUAGGGAAUCUUCCGCAAUGGGCGAAAGCCUGACGGAGCAACGCCGCGUGAGUGAUGAUGGUCUUCGGAUCGUAAAACUCUGUUAUUAGGGAAGAACAAAAGUGUAAGUUGAAGGUAGGUUAAGUUAGUACAUAAUCAUGACCCUCACUACUAGCGCAGAGCCAGGACAGAACUAUGAUCUGGGUAGUCAGAAGCAUUAUCAAAAAUUAUUGUACGAAAAGAAGGCGAAGGCGAUUUUUUAAAUCUGAUGAUAAAGCCUCACGGAUCACCCGUGGAGGGUCAUUGGAAAAUGGAAAACUUGAGUGCAGAAGAGGAAAGUGGAAUUCCAUGUGUAGCGGUGAAAUGCGCAGAGAUAUGGAGGAACACCAGUGGCGAAGGCGAAUUUCUUGUCUGUAACUGACGCUGAUGUGCGAAAGGCGUGGGGAUCAAACAGGAUUAGAUACCCUGGUAGUCCACGCCGUAAACGAUGAGUGCUAAGUGUUAGGGGGUUUCCGCCCCUUAGUGCUGCAGCUAACGCAUUAAGCACUCCGCCUGGGGAGUACGACCGCAAGGUUGAAACUCAAAGGAAUUGACGGGGACCCGCACAAGCGGUGGAGCAUGUGGUUUAAUUCGAAGCAACGCGAAGAACCUUACCAAAUCUUGACAUCCUCUGACCCCUCUAGAGAUAG
rnacentral:rRNA from 1 species